CAGAGAUGUAGGAUUACAAGGAAUGAUUCUAUGAUUCUAUGAAUUUUGUAACUCUGUCACGAGUUCACCCUUCGGUGGAGCAAACCCGAGGAAGCCACUGGCAGCACAGGAACAGCAGUCGACACCCCGGUGACUUUAAAGAUGCCAAGAGUACUGGAAAUCUUCAGAGAAUUUAGCUGCCAAUCUCUAUCAAGUUUCUACUUGAACAUGUGUGAGCAGAGCUUUGCAGCAAGCCAAAUGUAGGCAGCUUCAUGCCGGAGGAUUGCCAGGCUCGUGCAUGGACCCUCCUGCUCACCACCUCCCCACCUUCCUCUCUGCAACUCUCCCUAGUGCAGCGCCAGAUUUUGAAGCACAGAGGCACCAGCACUUCUCAGCUACGUCAGGAUUGCCUGCGAGUACUACGUCCCCAUUCAACAGGUGGGAAGCUUGAGAAACUGAGACAUUCUGCAAAGCCAGCGCUCCGUAAGACAGUGGCAGAGAUGGUACUAUAACUUAAGACUUUUCUUGGUCUCAAGUCAGUGCUUUAGCUCCUAUUGUCUUUGAAGUUUGCAAAACUUUGUAUUAAUCCA